rnacentral:misc_RNA from 1 species
AACGCACAUUGCGCCCCUUGGCAUUCCGAGGGGCAUGCCUGUCUGAGAACCGUCACAACCCCUCACUUUCCAGUGACUUUUAGUUGCUGGGGCAAGUGGAGAUGGAGGGUGAAUCUUGGCGAUUGAGUCUUGAUUCCCUCUGAAAAUGAGACGGUGCGAGCUCAUUCAAUUUGAGCGAGCGGCCCGACGUCAGUUCAAGCAUGAAAUUGCUUUGACAGCGUCAAGGGUUUCAAACCGCGAGCGCGUUUUUUCAGCGCCAACCAAAAAAAAUCAAAACAAUUGAUUUUGAACUUUUGGUCUCAGAUCAGGCAAGAUCACCCGCUGAACUUAA